ACGGGAGGCAGCAGUGGGGGAUAUUGCACAAUGGAGGAAACUCUGAUGCAGCAACGCCGCGUGAGGGAUGAAGGUCUUCGGAUUGUAAACCUCUGUCCUUAGUGAAGAAUUUUUGACGGUAACUUUGGAGGAAGCUCCGGCUAACUACGUGCCAGCAGCCGCGGUAAUACGUAGGGAGCUAGCGUUGUCCGGAUUUAUUGGGUGUAAAGGGUGCGUAGGCGGCUUUGCAAGUCAGGCGUGUAAUCCAGAGGCUUAACCUCUGAACUGCGCUUGAAACUGCUUGGCUUGAGUGGAGUAGAGGCAGAUGGAAUUUCCAGUGUAGCGGUGAAAUGCGUAGAUAUUGGAAGGAACACCAGUGGCGAAGGCGAUCUGCUGGGCUCUUACUGACGCUGAGGCACGAAAGCAUGGGGAGCAAACAGGAUUAGAUACCCUGGUA
rnacentral:rRNA from 3 species